AUGGUUCAUCUGAUGAGGAGUAGGGAGCUUGAUGAAUUAACGCAAAAGGAGUUCUUUGACUCGUCAGAGUCAGACGAAGAUGUCGAGAUGAUGAUGAUCAUGAGCAUCCAGGAGGAAAUGGACGGGAGGUGGAACACAUCCCAAACUUCAAGGGUUCCAUCAAAGGGAGGAGUUUCAAACCGGGAUAGGGCAUUGGAGCACGACUACUCUACAAGUACCACUUUGAUCCCACACGAACAUUCCCUGAUACAUUCGUCGACGCUUCGAUAUGCGCAAACCCUUCUUCUUGCGCGUGGUGGAGGGAAUGGAGGCACAGCUCCCUACUUUAGGCUCUCUAGGGAUCGUUGUGGACAACUCUUGUUCUCUGUUAAGCAGAAAUGCACGACUGCUAUGAGAAUGCUUGCAUUAGGUACGGUCGUCGAUGCCGUUGGUGGGAUGGUCCGGAUGGGAAAGAGCACAUGCCUAAAGACCACUGUGAAAUUUGCCGCGACAUGA
rnacentral:rRNA from 1 species